UUAAGUUCUCAGUUUGCUCAGUUUCUUCGUGUUAGACCUUGAACCUGUUAAUUCAUGUUUGUUUCCUUGUGCUAAGAAAAUCUCCUGCUUCACUUUAGAACUAUCUUGCUAUCCAACACGGCAGACACAUGGAUCUGAUCAGCUGCCUGCUCCACUAUCCCCCAUGCCAUAUCCACUACCAGCACGAGCCAGACUCCCUACCUUUAAUUUUACCCUCACUUAGCGUGCUGGUUCAAAGAACAUUAAUCACAAUGCCCUGUCCUCCAGCUACUCCGGACACCAUUCUACCAUCCACAUGCGUGGUGGCUGCAGUGACCUGGGAAAUCGAGUCCGAAGUGAGGGAGGCUCAGCAGACUGAGCCAGAUCCUGGCAAUAGACCUCCCAACUAUCUCUUUGUAUCUGAUGUGCUUUGGUCCGUCAGUGGGUGCAGUCUUUCCGGUUUUCCUGUGAUCCAGGUAUAGGUCGAACUCUGUCUCCUCAGAGGGCCUUCUGUGGAGGCUGGUACCCAUGCAAAGUCUUUGCAUUGUCCACCUGCUGGACUACUCCAUCCUCUCACUGUUCCAAGAUGUCCCUGGUCUCAUACAUCUCUGGAUUUUGUGGUAACACAGUAAUACUCAUCGUAGUGGAUUGACUCCUUUUGAGGCAUCCCUUGGGUUCCGUUCCAUCGAUCACAACUGGUGGAUUGCUACUGUCAUCCAACAGGUCGGAAAGUUUGGUUAUCUUCAGAAAUAUUCCACUCUAGACUGAUUGACAAAAGUUGUCCCCCUCAGUAUAUUGGAACAUAAGUAGAGGAACAGGUCAUCAAUCCAACAGCAGUCAGGCUAAAGCUACCACAGUCAAUAAAAAUUCAUCCCACUUUCCACAGCUUAAGCCAGUGUGUUUCUGCUAUUUGUGCCCUCCUUCCGACUCCCCUGAACCUGCCCAGAUCAUCAAGAUCUACACUGUCUGGCGGCUUCUGGAUGUGUACUGCUGGGGAACAGGACUCCAGUACUGUGUAGAUUGGGAUGGACAUGGCCUGGAGGAGAGGAGUUCCCUCACUCUUUUAUUAUGGAACCCCAGCACUGAGGGACUUUCAUCAAGCCUACCCGGAGAAGCCUUGUAGGUUGCCAGCAGGCUCCCAUUUAGUGGGAGGUACUAUCAUGGUUCGGCCCUACCUCUUUUUCUUUCCCUGUGUUUUCCUGUCGUUAUCCCCCCCAAGUUUUUUGUUUGUUCAUGUGUGUGUCCCUCUGGGAUUGGUUCUCCUUGGCUGCUCGGUGGUUACCCGCCUCCUGCACACCUGAGACUUAUUCCACUAAUCAGACUCUGCAACACAUCUUCCCCCAGCUCUCCACUCCAGUUUUGCCAGAUCGUUUCAUUCACCAGUGCGGUAACUAUGCUACGGCCAAGUUUUCAGUUUACUUAGUUUCUUUGUGUUGCUGUUCUUGAGCCUGUUGGUUCAUGUUUAUUUCCUCUCCUAUCUUUCCCCACGCCUUCUCACUACCAGCACCAGGAUCAUUCCACUUAGCGUGCCUUGCUCUCAGCCAUACAGCUUCUCUCUUCAAUUCCCACCUACACACUCAAAAGGAAAUGGCUUCCACGGUGCUCACGGAGGACGAACAUGACGUGAUGAAUACAGUUGCAAAAUCACCAACAAAAGGAAGGAGUGUGGAGUAAUGGGAGGUUUAGGAUGAGAGACAGCUGUGGCAACCAAACUAUAGUACUGCGCCCCUGAGCUUUAAGCAAUGGAAUGAUUACAACAUCCUAUUAGCACCACAGAGCAAAAAUUGGAUCCUGAUUUUGCGGUCAAACCUUCCAACUGUCAAAACCUGAGAUUCUGGUGCAAUGAGACACCCACCUUGGAGGAAUGCCUGUCUAGACCCAAGGACUGAGGAUAAUUUUGAAAAAGUGGGCAUGACUAAUAGCACAGUGGCUUGAUUCGCAGAACCUGACAGGCUGUUCUCCAGUGACCAGUAAAUACAGAACGCUUGACAGAUGUGGAGGCCGGUUCUUCUCAGACAUGGCUGCUGCUGUUGUUUACCCACACAAAUCAAUAGAAUUGACUAGUGUACAGAUACUCCACAUUCAGCAAAGACCACAACUAACAUCCUUUAGCGUCAUUAGAGAUGAGUUUAUCUUGUUGCUUGCGUAGUGAGAGUGAGUAAGUUUUGUUUUUACUAGACAGAGACAUAGAAGGAGUGAAGGAAGUUGUUGUUUAUCUAGUAGCAUUUACUGUAAUGUUUCACUUACGUAGGAUAGAUAUGAAAGCUUACUGGAAGAAAACUAAUAAAGAUGUGGGAGAUA